CGUUGAUUGUUGUGGAUGUGGAUUUUCAGUCUUUAUGGGGCCAAGACCAGUGCUGCGGGUUUAGCUAGCAAUGACCAGAAGAAGACAAGAAGAACUUGGCUCCAGUCGAUAGUUAUCUUCAUUGUAUCUUCAAGACCGUUAAAGAUAGCAGCAUUCACAUAAUAUAUAUUUUGUUUAAGAAACACAAGAAACUGAAAUGUCCUGCACCCAUCACCAUGCUAGCCCUCUACAUGUUAGCCGCUGUGCUAAUUACCUAAGGUCUUCCAUUGCUACAUGAGGCUGUUGUGCUUCGGCUGUGCGAUGACUUUGUCAUGAACUGCUAUCAAAACACUUGGUAUAGUUAAGGCAUACUUAAAGCUCAUCCCUUGCUGUAAUUGUUGUAGAUAUGUGAUUUGAUUUGAGAUUUUCCUGUAACCAAGACCAGUGUUGCAAGUUUAGCUAGCAAUGGCAAGAAGUGGAGAAGUCAGCUCCCGCAGAUGUUUAUCUUCAGGGUUCUAAGAAUGUUUAAGACAGCAGCGUUCACAUAGUCAUGUUGUGCAAGAAGGUACAAUAAUUGUGACAAAGGUGGUGUGUCUUCUUGUUGUUGUCGUACCAUCUAUUGUUUAACAUAACAGAUGUCAAACCGACUUGAACAUAAAUAACAAAGACAAUCCUGUUGGUGCAUCCACCACUGGUGCUUAUUGCACACAAUGGCACAAAAUAGGCAGAAAUUUAUGAUUUAUAUGUUAUUUAAAGUACCACAUUCAGCCCUUAAAGCAGGCCAAAAUGAUCCAAAACAACACUUUUUGGACCAGAUGUUCGCAAGUUGCAUCUAGCUAGCACUACAGAAGAGAUGCGAGCAUAAGGGGAGAAGUGUUUAAUAAAAUCCAGCAUUUCUAACAGCUCAACAAAUAUUUGCAAACACGCAAACUGUUUGUGUGCAGUUUGUCACAAAAGUGUGUCUGCUAGCUAAAGGUACAGGUUCUACAUUUGAGGGAGGGAAAAAAAGUUAAUAACUUCAGAGAUAGAGAACGAUGUGAGAAAGACAGGACGGGAGGGGAAGAAGAGGUUAUAUACAAAAGUAAGGACUGCUCAGCAACUGUGAUAAAUAGUACUCAGUACUUCAAUCUGUACUUCUACAUAUUGAAGAACGUCUGUACUUUUGCCAGCUCUGUUGGACUUUGAUCGAUAGGUGAGGCUUACAGACCCAGUCCUUCUUUCUUGUGCAUAUACAAUCAUGUCAUAUGAGGACGUGUGGAGAC
ensembl:lncRNA